GCAGCCGCGCGCAGCCAUGGCCGUGAACCCCAGCCUGGAGAGAGCUUCAAGAACAAGGGCCGUGAUGUGGAAACGAUGCAAAGGCACAGAAAUGAAGCUGAACUGUGGAAGAGCAAAAGGGAUGAACACUUAUUGAAAAAGAGAAAUGUUCCCCAAGAAGAAAGUUUAGAAGAUUCAGAUGUUAAUGCUGAUUUUAAAGCACAAAAUGUAACACUAGAAGCUAUAUUGCAGAAUGCCACAAAUGAUAACCCAGGGGUCCAGUUGGGUGCUGUGCAGGCAGCAAGAAAACUACUAUCUAGUGAGAGAAACCCACCAAUUGAUGACCUAAUAAAGUCUGGGAUUUUACCAAUUCUAGCCAAAUGUCUAGAAAGGGAUGAUGAUCCUUCAUUACAGUUUGAAGCUGCUUGGGCAUUAAAUAAUACAGCAUCAGGAACUUCUGCACAGACUCAAGCUAUUGUACAAUCUAAUGCAGUACCUCUUUUUCUGAGACUUCUUCAUUCACCACAUCAAAAUGUUUGUGAACAAACAGUGUGGGCAUUGGGAAACAUUAUAGGUGAUGGUCCUCAAUGUAGAGAUUAUGUCAUAUCACUGGGAGUUGUCAAACCUCUUCCGUCCUUCAUCAGUCCCUCCAUUUCCAACACCUUCCUUGGGAAAGUCACAUGGGUCAUUGUCAAUCUCAGCAGGAAUAAGGAUCCCCCACCGUCUAUGGAGACAGUUCAGGAGAUUUGGGCAGCUUUAUGUGUCCUCAUAUACCAUACAGACAUAAACAUUCUUGUAGACACUGUUUGGGCUCUGCCAUACUUGACAGAUGAGCAGAUAAAGAUGGUUAUUGAUUCAGGGGUUGUGCCAUUUCUCGUGCCCUUUCUGAGUCACCAGGAAGUGAAAGUUCAAACAGCUGCACUCAGAGCAGUAGGCAACAUAGUGACUGCCACUGAUGAGCAGACCCAGGUUGUUCUCAAUUGUGACGUCCUGUCACACUUCCCAAAUAUUUUAUCACACCCAAAAAAGAAGAUAAAUAAGGAAGCAGUAUGGUUCCUUUCCAACAUAACAGCAGGCAAACCAGCAACAAGUUCAAGCAGUAAUAGAUGCUGGAUUAAUCCCUAUGAUUAUUCAUCAGCUAACUAAGGGAGGUUUGGGAACACAAAAGGAAACUGCUUGGACAAUCAGCAAUUUAACAAUAAAUGGCAGAAAGGAUCAGAUUGAGUACCUUGUACAGCAGAAUGUAAUACCACCGUUUUAUAAUUUACUGUCAGUGAAAGAUUCUCAAGUGGUUCCAGAUGGCCUAAAAAAGCAUUCCAAUAAUGACUGGUGAUGAAGCAAGCACGAUAGCUGAAAUAAUAGAGGAAUGUGGAGGUUUAGAGAAAAUUGAAGUUUUGCAGCAACAUGAAAAUGAAGACAUAUAUAAAUUAGCAUUUGGAAUCAUAGAUCAGUAUUUCUCUGAUGAUGAUAUCGAUGAAGAUCCCAGCCUCAUUCCUGAAGCAACAUAGGGAGGUACUUACAAUUUUGACUCAACAGGCAACCUUCAAACAAAAGAAUUAAUUUUUUUUUUUUUUUUUGGGAUGUUGUUACCUUGUAUUGCCAGCAGGUGGUGCUAUCUCAGCUUCUCGCCCCAGAGGGGUGGAGCCAGACAGGAGUUGGCAGAGCCCAGAGAUGGGAGCCUGCCUCAGGGCACACAGGAGGAGACCCACAGCCGGCAGCUGGUUACGGUGGCAGCAGAGGUGGCAGCAAUCCUAGCAGAUCUUGCCUGCAAGGGCUUCAAGGACUGA